UACGAGGGGGGCAAGCGUUGUUCGGAAUUAUUGGGCGUAAAGGGCGCGUAGGCGGUCUGAUAAGUCUUGUGUGAAAUCUCUGGGCUCAACCCAGAGUCUGCAUAGGAAACUGUCGGGCUUGAGUAUGGGAGAGGUGCGUGGAAUUCCGGUGUAGCGGUGAAAUGCGUAGAUAUCGGAAGGAACACCUGUGGCGAAAGCGGCGCACUGGACCAAAACUGACGC
rnacentral:rRNA from 1 species